rnacentral:rRNA from 1 species
UGAGGAAUAUUGGUCAAUGGGGCGCAGGCCUGAACCAGCCAAGUCGCGUGAGGGAUGACGGUCCUACGGAUUGUAAACCUCUUUUGUCGGGGAGUAACGUGCGGGACGCGUCCCGUAUUGAGAGUACCCGAAGAAAAAGCAUCGGCUAACUCCGUGCCAGCAGCCGCGGUAAUACGGAGGAUGCGAGCGUUAUCCGGAUUUAUUGGGUUUAAAGGGUGCGCAGGCGGCGCGCCAAGUCAGCGGUCAAAUGUCAGGGCCCAACCUUGGCAUGCCGUUGAUACUGGCGGCCUUGAGUUCACACAAGGAAGGUGGAAUUCGUCGUGUAGCGGUGAAAUGCUUAGAUAUGACGAAGAACUCCGAUUGCGAAGGCAGCCUUCUGGGGUGUUACUGACGCUGAGGCUCGAAAGUGCGGGAAUCAAACAGGAUUAGAUACCCUGGUAGU